rnacentral:rRNA from 1 species
AUGAAUCCACUUACUAUUGCUGCUUCUAGAUUGGUCGUAGUGCUUGCUUCUAUUGGACCUGGAGUUGGUCAAGGUACUGCUGCAGGACAAGCUGAAGCUAUUGCGAGACAACCAAAAGCAGAAGAUAAAAUACGAGGUACUUUAUUGCUUAGUCUAGCUUUUAUGGAAGCUUUAACAAUUUAUGGACUAGUUGUGGCACUAGCGCUUUUAUUUGCGAACCCUUUUGUUUAA